rnacentral:misc_RNA from 1 species
GGCGCUCAAGAUCUUUUGAAACAGAAAGAUAGCGUUUCCCACAGUGGCUUUUUGCGCAAGCGCGGGAAGUUGGAGCGUUUGGUUGGAUCAAAUGGACUGUUCACAGCUAUAUUCUCUGAACUUUCUAAAUGGCGACAGCGUUUUGUGAUUGUUGGGAGGGGAUGUCUGUAUGUAUACGCAGACGAGCAUGGCAGAUCACCUUUACAGUCAGUUUCCCUUAAAGACUAUACCAGGGUCGAGCGCCCGACUUCAGGAGGGUUAGAGAUAGACACAAGGAGAUGCUUCCGGGUCGUCCCAUCCAACGAGAGAACCAUGAAAACCUUCGUCUUUGGUUGUGCAAAAGAUGGCGAGAGAAAGGAAUGGAUGUACAAAAUCCGUGAAGAAAUGCUUCUAGCUAAUUCUAAAACGGAUGAAAUUGAGGUUUCCGGGUCGGGGUCUGACGAGUACGUUUACCUGGAAAAACCCAUCAUCGAACCAAUUAUCCAACCACCGACCUACAGCAAACCGGAUGUGCCGAAUAGAAGACCUCCUCAAGUACCGGAAGAAGAUAGUAGCGAUUCCGAGAAUUCAGACUACGAUAUAAUACAAGAGGAAGAUGUAAAACGACUUCGGGGGAAACCUCUGCCAGAAGUCCCCAAAGAAGACAACCACGUGGUGAGGAGACCAGAAAAGCCAAAGAAGCCUCAGUAUUUGAAAUCUAAGGACCAAGCUGCCGACCCGAACGAGUAUUUGUUUGAUAAUUCUGACAGACAGAAAGCUAUUGAUAUUUUAGCCCGCCGUACAAGUGGGACGUUUUUGGUGCGGAAGUCAAGAAUGGGAGAUCAGCAGGUUUUGUCCGUUCAAACAGAAGAAGGAAUGAAGGAGUACAAAAUAUAUGACAAGCCUGCCGGUUUGACUAUCGACAACAAAACUUACUUCAAAUCUGUAGAAAAGCUGAUUGAGAACUAUAAACGCCAAAGUCUCCCAAACAGGCGGACUACUUUAAUGCGCGGAUUCAGUAUCACUGAAGAACAGUAGUGAGAAAAUUUUUAUGGUUUUCUAUGAGAAUGUUAGCUUUUUCCUGACUGUUAAGUUACGUAUCACAGGAUAAAGCAAAUUCUAUACUUGUAUUUGUUAAAAUUAGCACAUAAAGCAAGCGCAGAUAGGUUUUUGUUUAGAAUGCACAAUCAUAUACUUUAUUACCUCUCAUGUUUAGAAUACGCUUGAAUAGUAUUCCGUCAUGAUAACUGUGCAUUGUCUUAUUAGCAAUGAAAGAAUAUAUGUCAUCAGUAUCAUUAUAGAUGUAUCAUAUAUUCAACCAUAAUAGUAGUGUGUUAAUUAAUAGAUUUUAUAGAUUUUAUAAUUAACUACGUUGAUGAUUUCGAUUUGUUUUGAUUACUUUAUUAUGUUAUUUUAUUACCAAGAAUAUUGAUUAUUCAUAAUUCAUCAUGUGAAAGACCUUGGAAUCAUUGUAUGCCAUUGCUUCCAUGACAUAAUUAAUAUUCAUACAAUAAGUGAUUGCAAGCCAAUUUAAGAGCAUGUUCACCAAAAAAUUAAUGUUCACAAAUGCAUAAGAAUACGGUAUGCACAUGUUUUUCCACUAUGUGAAAUGAAAUGCAUUUAGUGUUACAAUUUUUCUGUUAAUUGGUAUCUUAAUAAUGACUUUUGAUGAUUAAAUUGUUGUUUUUAAAUGAUUUCUGUUUUAAUCAC